GCGAUCGAACUAAAAAUGUUGGUGUUGUGGAUGUUGAGUACAUAAUCCAUUAUGGUCGCCCUACAUUGGGAGGCUCAGAUGAAAAUGAGGUGAGGAGAGAAUCGUACAACAAAAUGAAGGUGUUCAAAA